rnacentral:rRNA from 1 species
GUCUAUGGCUACACCAUCCUGAACGUGUCCGAUCUCAUCUGAUCUCGGAAGCUAAGCAGGUUCGGGCAUGGUUAGUACUUGGAUGGGAGACCAUACUCUUAAGUGAAAUAAACU